rnacentral:rRNA from 1 species
CUUCGUACUAAUGUCACCCCGCAGCCCAAGACUGGUUGCCCACUGAAGCUAAGCAGGGUUGAGCUUGGUCAGUACCUGGAUGGGAGACCUCCUGGGAAAACUAGGUUGCUGUUGGAAGA